GUAGCCGCUUCACAAGAAUGUCAAAAUUUCAAGAUCAGAGAUUCAAACUUUGCUAUAUAGAACCUGCCUAUUGACAGGAGAGCGGGAAAUUUUAGAAGUGCCACCUAUUAAAAGGGUGAAUUAAUGCCUGCAAACCCUCCCUCUCGGCUUUUAACACUCAUCCUUUCUACUAUCUUGUCACACCAAAAAUUGCUACAUCCUAACCUGAUAAGAACCAAAGAGCGGUGCCCGAGUGCCUGGAAGUUGUUUCUGCUGCCCGCUCUCCCCUAAGAGCAUCCUCUGGAAAAAAUAAUAAUAAAUAAUAAUAAUAGUAAAAAUAAAUCCAAAAUUCUAGUUUUCAUCCCUAGUCUAGAAUGAAAAGAAGAAAAGCCAUCUUUCUGUCUCCCCACCAGCUUUCCCAGCAGUGAUAAGUAGGUCUGAAACUCAUCAAGUGGUUUGGGCCAGCAUUUGCAUUGCCUGUCUCAAAGGAGGCUGCAUUCUUUCUUGAUGGAUCCCUUACCACAAGACAUUUCUACAGACCCCACUUCAUAAAACUGCCGAAUGUCAUCAUGCUCUAUCCAGACAUUAUUUCACUUUCUAAAACUUCAAAUUGGCUUGAGAGGGAC
rnacentral:lncRNA from 1 species